rnacentral:rRNA from 4 species
CAUAGGUUAAUGAGGCGAACCGGGGGAACUGAAACAUCUAAGUACCCCGAGGAAAAGAAAUCAACCGAGAUUCCCCCAGUAGCGGCGAGCGAACGGGGAGGAGCCCAGAGCCUGAAUCAGCAUGUGUGUUAGUGGAAGCGUCUGGAAAGGCGCGCGAUACAGGGUGACAGCCCCGUACACAAAAGCGCAUGUGCUGUGAGCUCGAUGAGUAGGGCGGGACACGUGGUAUCCUGUCUGAAUAUGGGGGGACCAUCCUCCAAGGCUAAAUACUCCUGACUGACCGAUAGUGAACCAGUACCGUGAGGGAAAGGCGAAAAGAACCCCGGCGAGGGGAGUGAAAAAGAACCUGAAACCGUGU